AUUGUUAACUUGAGAAGAUCGGGGUGCGAGGCCGGAUCGCCAUGCUGGCUGGUCGCAUGUCAGAACAGCUCCUGACAGUUCUGGCCUUUAAUCAACGAUUAAUCGGAAUAAAAUCUCAACCAGGGCAAACAAAUACCGAUUGUAACAACAGUGCUUACCGGAGCUGCAAAUGUGCCCUAAGACAGGUGCUAUGAAACACCAGAAGAAGAAUUGCAGACAUAAGGGCUACUCGGGCUGAGAGUGCAGUGGACGUCCACCGCUCUGCUCUUGUGCCUGAUCGCAUCGGCUCCUAGAACACAUCCUCUCUGGUCCCGUUUCCUCCCCCCCUUUGGACGGAUGGGGGUUAUCCGGGUCCCCACUGGAAGGCUCUGAAGCAAGGAUAAGCGAGGCUUACAGAAAGUGCUCCAGUGCUGUGAUUCCAGGAUGGCCCCUGCAAAGGCCCCUGUGGGAUCGGAUCCCUCUAUCAGCAUGUAGAAUGGCUUCUUCGAGCAACUCCUGAGCUCUGUCCAGGCCCAAGCUGGCCCAACAUUCUGCUUCUGCAAGGAAGGCUUUUUGCCCCACCACAAAGCACAGUCACCAUCUGCGGCUGACUCCCACAUUCACUCACCUAAGCCUCGAGCCUGGUGGAGAAGACCUCCUGAUUUCAGUCCAACACCCUGGAGAGUGCUCUGCUGUUGCUGGGAACACUAUGGGGGCCUCGCCAGGGACACUGAUCACGGCUCAUCGGAGGACUGGAUCCGAGGGCAUUAGAUAACAGAUCGAGUGAAGCUUGGGGCUGGUGGCGCAGAUCCUGUUGAACUUGUAUGUGUGCUGGGACUCUCACCCAAAUCUUAAUAACCGGGGUCGGAGAGGGUUGCGGGGGGGGCGGUCUCUUACGGGGAAGGCAAUGUUUCUGUAAAUGUUCUAUGGUCUUCAUAUGAAUAUCAUAUGAAUUUCACACUUCAUUUUUGGAAUUAUCUACUAAACGUGGUUAGCACCUAGGUGCAAAAGUGCUUUUGUAUAUGAAAAGUGAGUGCCAAGCUUUUGGAGAUAUAUAUAUAUAUAUACACACACACACACACACACACACACACACACACAUAUACAUACAUACAUACAUACAUAUAUAUAUAUAUAUAUAUAUAUAAUGUAUUGGGUCUUCUGCUUCCAAUCACAGGGUGGGCUCAGUAUCUACAAAUAUGAACUUAUGAUGACAAUUGCAUUCACUGUGACAAAAAUUCUUGUUAAAUAUCUAUCUUUAUACUUGUACUAAUGCCCAUCUAGAUGCUAAUUUAUAAUGAUCCAUGGAUAUGGUUUCUUGUAAUCUCUUGUCAUUUUGAUUGUUUUCUUUUAUGUGUUUUUCUUUUUCAAAAUUGCAGGAACUUAUGUAUGUGUUUUUGAUGUAUUCAUGCUUUGCAAUGUG